UCAUUCCAGAGAGGGUGCACGGCAAUAUUGGGCAAGAUCAUAGAGAGAAGAACCAGCCAUGGACACCACCAAGAGGUGCAUUGCCACAGUCAUCGUGCUGAUGCUCUGCCUCCAGCUCCACACCUCCGCGGACGCCCGCCGCCUCUCCUCCGGCGGCGGCGAGAUCCGGCUUCCAAGCGACGGCAAAGAUGAUCCUACUGCUCAAGUCGGGGCGUCAAAGUUGAUCAAGAUAGACGACUCGUUCUAUACCAGCUGUCCGGACGGCAUGGUACUGGAGUGUAUACUCAUUGGAUUCGCCCCUUUUUGCAAGUGCGUGCCUAAAAAGGGUGCCGGCCUCACCGAUGGAUCCAUGCUUCCGAGCGACGGCAGAGGUUCGUGGCCGUGUUUGAAUGAAGGGAAAAUCUAACUAGCCGCGCCGUAUUUCAUGCUUACCGUGCGGCGGCUUGUCCUCAUGCGCGUAUCGCACGCACGACCAGUGAGCCAGCGCAACCGCACACUCCUCAACGCACUGUUGCUAUAGUACACCGCUACUUUCCACGGAAAACGUUCGUACUACCACAGAAUGUGUGAUCACUGUGCCCCAGAAAACAUCAGUGUUUGGCAAAGUACGCAUCGGCAUGGCUCUUUACAGUCAUCAUGUUUUUGCGGUGAUCCUGCUGAUCAAGUCGGGGCGUCAAAGUUGAUCAACAUAGAGGACUCAUUCUAUACCCCCUGUCCGGACGGCAUGGUACAGAAGUGUAUAUUCGUUGGAACCACCCCUUUUUGCGGGUGCGUGCCUAAAAAGGGUGCCGGCCUCACUGAUGGAUCCAUGUCGUCGACGGCGAACAAGCCGGGGAACAAGGACUAGGACGAUGUCGACGUGGGCGCCGGUAACUAGCUAGCAUUUGCGCCCGUACGUGUGCCAUAUACCAUACGUCAAGCAAUGGUAAUAAGGUCCAGCACAUAUGGUAGCAUGGACACCCUUCCCGUCUUAUUGUACUACUAGCUUGUACACAUGUGCGUUUAUAUACAUGUUGUAUUUUUUAGCUCCUGUGUAUGCAUGCUUUUAUACACACAGAUGUACGGAGUAGGAUAUAACCUCCGUUUUAUAUUACUUAUAAUGGAAUAAUGGUUAAUUA